ACCAAAUGUGUCAGUAUCCGCUAUUACACACCUAGUUGUCAACAUUCACUACAAAUAAUACGGACUUUAACGUCGGUUAACUUAGGUGUUAACGUCGGUUUAAGGCAUCCAAUAAAACUGACGUUAUGUUUCUCUUUCCUCGUUUUGUCGACCAAAGAAACUGACCCUAAAUGUAAAAAACAAAAUUUACUACUAGUAAAAAAUGCCAACAUACAACUGACGCCUUAGUAAUGACAUUUUAUU